ACAGUAGGCCGGUUUGUCGCUGACUGCCGUAUGGCAGGAAGAGGAAAGUCCGGGCAACACAGGGCAUCGUACUUCUUAAUGGGAAGCUGUUCGCGAGGGCAGAGUUAAGGUAACAGAAAAUGACCGCCCCUAACAGGGUAAGGGUGAAAAGGCGAGGUAAGAGCUCACCGCUCGUGCAGUGAUGUAUUGGGGCUGUACUACUUGCGAGUUGUAAGACCAUGUAUACCGGCGUAUGUAGGGCUGCCCGCCCGAUGCCGGGGGGUAGGUCGCUAGAGCCUGUCCGGUGACGGCUGGCGUAGAUAAAUGACAGACACCUUGAUUUAUUGAGGGACAGAACCCGGCUUACAGGCUUACUGUUUUA
rnacentral:RNase_P_RNA from 4 species